rnacentral:tRNA from 1 species
GCCCUGUGGCUCAGUUGGUAGAGCAUGGUGUUUGCAACGCCAGCAUGGUGUGUGCAACGCCAGGGUUGUGGGUUCGAUUCCCACGGGGGGCC